UACGGGGGGUGCGAGCGUUGUCCGGAAUCACUGGGCGUAAAGGGCGCGUAGGUGGUUUGAUAAGGGUGUGGUGAAAGUCCGGGGCUCAACUCCGGAUCUGCCGUGCCGACUGUCAAACUCGAGGGCUGUAGAGGCAGACGGAAUUCCGGGUGUAGCGGUGGAAUGCGUAGAGAUCCGGAGGAAGACCGGUGGCGAAGGCGGUCUGCUGGGCAGUUUCUGACACUGAUGCGCGACAGCGUGGGGAGCAAACAGG
rnacentral:rRNA from 1 species